CUCCUCUCAGGGUCAUAUCUGGAGAGUUUCCAGUACUCUGCCAGUCACGACUACAGGAGGGAGAGUCAAGAAGAGGCCUACCCAUUCCAUUACUAGCUUGGCCAUUGGCUAGCCAGUGGAAGGCAAUCUGCUACAAGU